rnacentral:rRNA from 1 species
UCUGAAUAGGGCGCUUAGUCAGAUGCUGCAGACCCGAAACGAAGUGAUCUAUCCAUGAGCAAGUUGAAGCUAGUGUAAGAACUAGUGGAGGACUGAACCCAUAGGCGUUGAAAAGCCCCGGGAUGACUUGUGGAUAGGGGUGAAAGGCCAAUCAAACUUCGUGAUAGCUGGUUCUCUCCGAAAUAUAUUUAGGUAUAGCGUUGUGUCGUAAUAUAAGGGGGUAGAGCACUGAAUGGGCUAGGGCAUACACCAAUGUACCAAACCCUAUCAAACUCCGAAUACCUUAUAUGUAAUCACAGCAGUCAGGCGGCGAGUGAUAAAAUCCGUCGUCAAGAGGGAAACAACCCAGACUACCAGCUAAGGUCCCUAAAUCUUACUUAAGUGGAAAACGAUGUGAAGUUACUUAAACAACCAGGAGGUUGGCUUAGAAGCAGCCAUCCUUUAAAGAAAGCGUAAUAGCUCACUGGUCUAGUGAUUUUGCGCGGAAAAUAUAACGGGGCUAAAGUAAGUACCGAAGCUGUAGACUUAGUUUACUAAGUGGUAGGAGAGCGUUCUAUUUGCGUCGAAGGUAUACCGGUAAGGAGUGCUGGAGCGAAUAGAAGUGAGCAUGCAGGCAUGAGUAGCGAUAAUUAAUGUGAGAAUCAUUAACGCCGUAAACCCAAGGUUUCCUACGCGAUGCUCGUCAUCGUAGGGUUAGUCGGGUCCUAAGUCGAGUCCGAAAGGGGUAGACGAUGGCAAAUUGGUUAAUAUUCCAAUACCAACAUUAGUGUGCGAUGGAAGGACGCUUAGGGCUAAGGGGGCUAGCGGAUGGAAGUGCUAGUCUAAGGUCGUAGGAGGUUAUACAGGCAAAUCCGUAUAACAAUACUCCGAGAACUGAAAGGCUUUUUGAAGUCUUCGGAUGGAUAGAAGAACCCCUGAUGCCAUCGAGCCAAGAAAAGUUUCUAAGUUUAGCUAAUGUUGCCCGUACCGUAAACCGACACAGGUGGGUGGGAUGAGUAUUCUAAGGCGCGUGGAAGAACUCUCUUUAAGGAACUCUGCAAAAUAGCACCGUAUCUUCGGUAUAAGGUGUGGUUCGCUUCGUAUUAGGAUUUACUCCGAAAGCGAAGAAACUUACAACAAAGAGUCCCUCCCGACUGUUUACCAAAAACACAGCACUCUGCUAACUCGUAAGAGGAUGUAUAGGGUGUGACGCCUGCCCGGUGCUCGAAGGUUAAUUGAUGGGGUUAGCAUUAGCGAAGCUCUUGAUCGAAGCCCGAGUAAACGGCGGCCGUAACUAUAACGGUCCUAAGGUAGCGAAAUUCCUUGUCGGUUAAAUACCGACCUGCAUGAAUGGCGUAACGAGAUGGGAGCUGUCUCAAAGAGGGAUCCAGUGAAAUUGUAGUGGAGGUGAAAAUUCCUCCUACCCGCGGCAAGACGGAAAGACCCCGUGGACCUUUACUACAGCUUGACACUGCUAUUUGGAUAAGAAUGUGCAGGAUAGGUGGGAGGCUUUGAGUAUAUGACGCCAGUUGUAUAUGAGCCAUUGUUGAGAUACCACUCUUUCUUAUUUGGGUAGCUAACCAGCUUGAGUUAUCCUCAAGUGGGACAAUGUCUGGUGGGUAGUUUGACUGGGGCGGUCGCCUCCCAAAUAAUAACGGAGGCUUACAAAGGUUGGCUCAGAACGGUUGGAAAUCGUUCGUAGAGUAUAAAGGUAUAAGCCAGCUUAACUGCAAGACAUACAAGUCAAGCAGAGACGAAAGUCGGUCUUAGUGAUCCGGUGGUUCUGCGUGGAAGGGCCAUCGCUCAAAGGAUAAAAGGUACCCCGGGGAUAACAGGCUGAUCUCCCCCAAGAGCUCACAUCGACGGGGAGGUUUGGCACCUCGAUGUCGGCUCAUCGCAUCCUGGGGCUGGAGCAGGUCCCAAGGGUAUGGCUGUUCGCCAUUUAAAGCGGUACGCGAGCUGGGUUCAGAACGUCGUGAGACAGUUCGGUCCCUAUCUGCCGUGGGCGUAAGAAGAUUGAAGAGAUUUGACCCUAGUACGAGAGGACCGGGUUGAACAAACCACUGGUGUAGCUGUUGUUCUGCCAAGAGCAUCGCAGCGUAGCUAAGUUUGGAAAGGAUAAACGCUGAAAGCAUCUAAGCGUGAAGCCAACUCUAAGAUGAAUCUUCUCUAAGCUCUCUAGAAGACUACUAGUUUGAUAGGCUGGGUGUGUAAUGGAUGAAAGUCCUUUAGCUGACCAGUACUAAUAGAGCGUUUGGCUUAUCUUUAAUAAAGCAU